AGUUGGUCCAAGUGCAGUGGUGUCUACAAUUAAUUGAUCACAGCCAGUUACAGAUUCCUUUGUUCCUUCUUCACUCCCACUGCUUCACUUGACCAGCCUAAA
ensembl:misc_RNA Y_RNA Y RNA